UGGGGAAUAUUGGACAAUGGGCGAAAGCCUGAUCCAGCCAUGCCGCAUGAGUGAAGAAGGCCUUUGGGUUGUAAAGCUCUUUUAGUGAGGAAGAUAAUGACGGUAAUCACAGAAGAAGUCCUGGCUAACUCCGUGCCAGCAGCCGCGGUAAUACGGAGAGGGCUAGCGUUAUUCGGAAUUAUUGGGCGUAAAGGGCGCGUAGGCUGGUUAAUAAGUUAAAAGUGAAAUCCCGAGGCUUAACCUUGGAAUUGCUUUUAAAACUAUUAAUCUAGAGAUUGAAAGAGGAUAGAGGAAUUCCUGAUGUAGAGGUAAAAUUCGUAAAUAUUAGGAGGAACACCGGUGGCGAAGGCGUCUAUCUGGUUCAAAUCUGACGCUGAAGCGCGAAGGCGUGGGGAGCAAACA
rnacentral:rRNA from 1 species